rnacentral:ncRNA from 12 species
CUCUACUCUCACAGCCAGAUGUUGCAGACUCAAGGGUCUGCAUCCAGCGCAGGGAGGAUAAAGGAGCCUAUCUCCUUGCCGCAUGGCAGAAAAGUAAAUUGUUAUGGAUGCCGAUAGUAGCCACAAGGCCAAUUCCGCAACACAUAA